rnacentral:rRNA from 1 species
GUGCCAGCCGCCGCGGUAAGACGAACCGUGCGAACGUUGUUCGGAAUCACUGGGCUUAAAGGGCGCGUAGGCGGGCUGGUCGGUCAGGGGUGAAAUCCUCCGGCUCAACCGGAGAACAGCCUUUGAUACCGCCAGUCUCGAGGGAGGUAGGGGCAUGUGGAACUUCCGGUGGAGCGGUGAAAUGCGUAGAUAUCGGAAGGAACGCCGGUGGCGAAAGCGACGUGCUGGACCUCUUCUGACGCUGAGGCGCGAAAGCCAGGGGAGCAAACGGGAUUAGAUACCCGCGUAGUCC